rnacentral:rRNA from 1 species
UACGAGGGGGGCAAAUGUUGUUCGGAAUCACUGGGCGUAAAGGGAGCGUAGGCGGUUUUUUAAGUUAGGUGUUUAAUCCCGGGGCCCAACCCCGGACAGGCACCUAAAACUGGGAAACUUGAAUAGUGGAGAGGACGGCGGAAUUGGGGGUGUAGCGGUGGAAUGCGUAGAGAUCCCCAAGAACACCAGUUGCGAAGGCGGCCGUCUGGACACAUAUUGACGCUGAGGCUCGAAAGCAUGGGGAGCAAACAGG